rnacentral:tRNA from 1 species
AAGCAGUAGUUUAAUAGGAAAAACGAAGAACUUUGAUUUCUUAUUUACGGGUUCGAUCCCCGUCUCCUUAA